UCUCUGUCCAAGCUACCAAGGGUCAACGGUGGAUGCCUUGGCGCCAGGAGCCGAUGAAGGACGUGGCAGGCUGCGAUAAGCCCCGGCGAGCUGUCAAGCAAGCUUCGACCCGGGGAUGUCCGAAUGGGGAAACCCGGCUGGGGUCAUGCCCAGUCACUCCGGUCUGAACACAUAGGACCGGUAGAGGGAACCGGCGGAACUGAAACAUCUAAGUACUCCGAGGAAGAGAAAGCAACAGCGAUUCCCUGAGUAGCGGCGAGCGAAACGGGAUCAGCCCAAACCUCUGCAGUGCAAUAGCCCGACGGCGUUGCUGCGGGGGGGUUGUGGGACCUGCUGGACGGUGCGUCGGCGCCGUCACAGAGUUACAAAGGCGAAGAUCAGCCGAACCCGGAUGGAAAGCCGGGCCGUAGAAGGUAACAGCCCUGUAGGCGAAGGCCUUCGCUCUCUGAGCGGUGUUCCCAAGUAUCACGGAGGAUAUUCCGUGUGAAUCUGCGAGAACCACCUCGUAAGGCUAAACACUUCCUGGCGACCGAUAGUGAACUAGUACCGUGAGGGAAAGGUGAAAAGCACCCCGGUGAGGGGAGUGAAAUAGUACCUGAAACCGUUGACCUACAAGCAGUGGGAGGAGUUCUCUUUUGAGAGCUCUGACCGCCUGCCUUUUGAAGAAUGAGCCGGCGAGUUAGCGGUAUGUGGCGAGGUUAAGGUAGUUGUACCGGAGCCGAAGCGAAAGCGAGUCUGAACAGGGCGAUUCAGUCGCAUGCCCUAGACCCGAAUCCGGGCGAUCUAUCCAUGGGCAGGGUGAAGCGAAGGUAAGACUUCGUGGAGGCCCGAACCCACCAAGGUUGAAAACUUGGGGGAUGACCUGUGGAUAGGGGUGAAAGGCCAAUCAAGCCCGGUGAUAGCUGGUUCUCCCCGAAAUAGCUUUAGGGCUAGCGUUGCGCGUUUCGCAAUGGGGGUAGAGCACUGAUUGAACUAGGGGGCCCACAAGCCUACCAACUUCAGUCAAACUCCGAAUCUCAUUGCGUUAGAGCGUGGCAGUCAGUCUACGUGGGAUGAGCUUCGUGGACGCAAGGGAAACAGCCCAGAUCGCCAGCUAAGGUCCCUAAGUCUGAGCUAAGUGGGAAACGAUGUGGAGUUGCACAAACAGCCAGGAGGUUGGCUUAGAAGCAGCCAUCCUUUAAAGAAUGCGUAACAGCUCACUGGUCGAGUGGCGCUGCGCGGAAAAUGUAACGGGGCUAAAGCUCAGCACCGAAGCUGCGAGAUUCCGUCCGUUGGGACGGGAUCGGUAGGGGAGCGUCGUGUCGACAUAGAAGCGUCGCCGUGAGGAGGCGUGGAGACGGCACGAGUGAGAAUGCCGGUAUGAGUAGCGAAAGAAGAGUGAGAAUCUCUUCCGCCGAAUGUCCAAGGGUUCCUGGGGAAGGUUCGUCCGCCCAGGGUUAGUCGGGACCUAAGGCGAGGCCGAAAGGCGUAGUCGAUGGACAACGGGUUGAUAUUCCCGUACCGCUCUGUGCGCGCCCGACCAAGACCGGUCAUGCUAAGACCGCAUCUUCGGAUGGGGUCGAACCAGACCGGAGGAGGUCAGCAACGGGGUGACGUGGAAGGGUAAGCGGACCCGGGCGUUGGUUGUUCCCGGGGUAAACGUGUAGGGUGCGGCCCAGGUAAAUCCGGGCCGCUCAAUAGCCCGAGGCGUGAUGCCGAUCCGCCUUAAGGAGAAGCCGCUGAACGCCCAUGCCACCGAGAAAAACCUCUAGCGAGUGCACAGUGCGCCCGUACCCCAAACCGACACAGGUGGACAGGUAGAGAAUACCAAGGCGAGCGAGUUAACCCUGGUUAAGGAAUUCGGCAAAUUGGCUCCGUAACUUCGGGAGAAGGAGCGCCCCGGUAAAGUGUAGGAGUUUUCCUCCGAAGCUUGAGGGGGCCGCAGUGACCAGGCCCAAACGACUGCUUACUAAAAGCACAGCAGCGUGCAAAGUCGCAAGACGACGUAUACGCUGUGACGCCUGCCCGGUGCCGGAAGGUUAAGAGGAGGUGUUAGCCCUCGGGCGAAGCUCUGAAUUGAAGCCCCGGUAAACGGCGGCCGUAACUAUAACGGUCCUAAGGUUGAAGUUCGCAGCCUUAGUAAAACUGAACCAUAUGCGGGAAACUCCUCGUACAGCAGUCCGGUACUCGUCCACCCGUGGGUGGGCAGUAAAAAUCCGGCUGACAUGGGGACAAUCCGCAGGGAAGGUCCAAUCUGUAAUGGAAACCCUCAGAGACUUGACGUUCAGGAUUGAUCGAUGAAGCUUGACAGUCAGUGGAUCACAGGAUUCGUGGACGGUGAAGGAUGCUUCCACCUCGGGAUAAACCCACAUCCCGACAUGAAGACCGGCUUUCAGGUUCUGCCUGAAUUCACCGUUGUACAGCACGAACGCGAUGUGCAGGUGUUGCACGCUAUGAAAAGCCACUUCGGGUGCGGCGUGGUUCGCAGCAACCACGGCGACCGGAUGGCCUAUCGGGUGCGCAGCAUCGAGCAUUUGCUCGGUCGCAUCGUUCCAUUCUUUGUCAAGCACCCGCUGAAGACCAGAAAGCGGAUCGCGUUCGAGAAGUUUCGGCGCGUUCUGCUGCUGAUGGAAGCGGGCGAGCAUCUGACCGACGAAGGCGUUGAUCGGAUACGCCAGAUCGCCGGCCAGAUGAAUAGAGGUCAAUCAAGGUAAAGUCCGGCCCGCUUGGAAACAGGUGGGAUCAUCCGAGCGAAAUUCCUUGUCGGGUAAGUUCCGACCUGCACGAAUGGCGCAACGAUUUGGGCACUGUCUCAACCAGGGACUCGGCGAAAUUGCAAUGUGAGUAAAGAUGCUCACUACCUGCGGCAGGACGGUAAGACCCCGGAACCUUUACUGUAGCUUGGCAUUGGAGUCUGGCGUGUAAUGUGCAGGAUAGGUGGGAGACUAGGAAGCGGAGGCGCAAGCCUCCGUGGAGUCAACCUUGGAAUACCACCCUUUGUACGACGGGCUUCUAACCCGGGUCCGUAAUCCGGAUCGGGGACAGUGUCUGGCGGUCAGUUUCACUGGGGCGGUGGCCUCCUAAAGCGUAACGGAGGCGCCCAAAGGUUCCCUCAGUCUGGUCGGCAAUCAGACGACGAGUGUAAAGGCACAAGGGAGCUUGACUGUGAGACCUACAAGUCAAACAGGGACGAAAGUCGGGCUUAGUGAUCCCAUGGUGGCACGUGGGUGCGCCAUGGCUCAUCGGCUAAAAGGUACUCCGGGGAUAACAGGCUAAUCACGCCCAAGAGUCCAUAUCGACGGCGUGGUUUGGCACCUCGAUGUCGGCUCGUCGCAUCCUGGGGCUGGAGCAGGUCCCAAGGGUCGGGCUGUUCGCCCGUUAAAGCGGCACGCGAGCUGGGUUUAGAACGUCGUGAGACAGUUCGGUCCCUAUCCGCCGCAGGCGCAGGAGACUUGAGGGGAGCUGUCCCUAGUACGAGAGGACCGGGAUGGACGUACCUCUGGUGUGCCAGUUGUUCUGCCAAGAGCACGGCUGGUUAGCUACGUACGGACGGGAUAAGCGCUGAAGGCAUCUAAGUGCGAAGCCCACCCCAAGAUGAGGUCUCCCACGGGUAUUACCCGGUAAGGCCCCUGGCAGAACACCAGGUUGAUAGGCCGGAAGUGUAAGCGCAGCAAUGUGUUCAGCUGACCGGUACUAAUAGGCCGAGGGCUUGGACA
rnacentral:rRNA from 1 species